rnacentral:lncRNA from 1 species
CUAGGUGUUGUAAAGUCUUUUGCAUCUACUGUCAGUCUGACCAGAAUGAAGAACCUUAUGUGAGCAUCACUAAGAAACGACAGAUGCCAAAAGAUGGACUUUCAGAGGAGGUGGAGAAAGAGGUUGGCCAGGCAGAAGACAAGCUGUUUACCCACCAUUCUGCAUUCAGCCAGACAUAAGUGAUACAGGCUUUCCUAGGCUCUGCCCCACAACUGAGCCUACAACUGUUUAUAACUGUUUUGGAGCAGAAUAUCACUACUGG